UACGAAGGGGGCUAGCGUUAAUCGGAAUUACUGGGCGUAAAGCGUGCGCAGGCGGUUCGUUAUGUCCGUUGUGAAAGCCCCGGGCUCAACCUGGGAAUGGCAAUGGAAACUGGCGGGCUAGAGUGUGGCAGAGGGGGGUGGAAUUCCGCGUGUAGCAGUGAAAUGCGUAGAGAUGCGGAGGAACACCGAUGGCGAAGGCAGCCCCCUGGGCUAGCACUGACGCUCAGGCACGAAAGCGUGGGGAGCAAACAGG
rnacentral:rRNA from 1 species